UAUCCAUGACCAUACUACCCUGAAUGUACCUGAUCUUCUUCGAUCUUCGAAACUAAGCAAAGUUGGGCCUGGACAGUACUUGGAUGGAAGAAGUUUAAGAGACUGAAAACUAUUGUAAUGAUAA
rnacentral:rRNA from 1 species